rnacentral:rRNA from 1 species
CGUGUAGGCGGUUCGGUAAGUCAGAGGUGAAAUGUCCCGGCUCAACCGGGGACCUGCCUUUGAAACUACCGGACUUGAGGCCGUGAGAGGAAACUGGAAUUCCUAGUGUAGCGGUGAAAUGCAUAGAUAUUAGGAAGAACACCAGUGGCGAAGGCGAGUUUCUGGCACGGUUCUGACGCUGAUGCGCGAAAGCUAGGGGAGCGAACG